CAGGAGCAGCGAGGAGGCCCCGUUGCCCGUGAGGGCCAGCCCCACGGCCAAGACUCGACGGCGGGAGAAGUAACGGGACAGGGUCCCAAGGGCCGGGGCGAACACCAGGGCCCAGCCAGAGCCUGCGGACGGACAGGACCGGCAAGGACGCCCAGGCCAAGGUAGAGGUGCAGCAGACUGCGGGCGAAUGCCGAGAAGACGAAGCCCAGCGAGGACUCGGGCGCCCUUUUCCAGGUUGUCUGAUCAUCAGCCCCCGCGGAGGGAGCGGCGAGAAUGAAGGCGGCCCCGCCCGGCUCAAGCCCACGCACCUGCCGCCCGCCGCUCUCGGAGGAGAGGCGUGGAUUGCGAUCCCCAGCAAACCCAGGGCCCCUAGGCAACACUUGGAAAUAGGAGUGAUCCCCCAAGGCCUGCCGCGAUGAGUACUUUUGUUCUCUGGGAACUUUGCUGGGGGACCAGGCAAUUCUCGUACAUCAAAUCACUGACCUCCACUGAGUGGUUGUUCCUUGCUCAACAAUAGCAGGCCCUCAAGAGCGGAGCGGAGAAAGAGGACUCCCUCGUUAGGAGGAGCUGUGAUGUGCCAGGCACUCGACCCAUGCCACCUGCCCACAAGAAACCGCUGAAGAAGGUGUCAUGCCCUUUUUUUUACAGAUGAAGUCACUGGAGAGUAGAGGGGUUAGGUGCCUUGUCCCCAAAGCACCCAGCUUAAAGAUGGUGGAAAUGUUUGAAUUUGGAUCUGUCCAGCUGCAGAAGCUACAGGGAGAAGCGACCUGAGACUGACAUAGACUACACCCCAGUGGGGGCACUGGCCGGGGUCCAGUUUGAGCCUCACUGACCUGCAAGGGUCCCUGGGAUCAGAACCGCCAAAGACUUAGAUCUGGAGUUUUAAUCCGAGAAUUGAACCCCGGCACUGAUUUCUUGGAAAAUUUGAUUUAAAAGGAUCCUUUCCACAUUAGUACCAUUGCUUCACUUGAGCUAUUUGAAUCAAGAGAUGUGUUCUUUGGUUUAACGAUUACACAAUAUCAGAAAAUUUGGCCCUGUACAGCGUGGAGCCGGUGUCAACCCAGAGCCACACGGUGGCAGUGUUUCCUAGUCGUUGAGAAAGUAUCUACAAAUCCGAGGAAAACAACCCCAUUUCUCUACUUUGGAUAUCAGGCCUUUCACCAGGGAAGGAACCCUCCCUCCCCAUUCCAUCUCCCUCCCCUCUGUCCUGCGCCCUUCCGUGGGCGUCAGCCAAAAGCGCCUCACCUGCUCCAAGGGCGUGCCUAGCUUUUUCUCACUCCUGAAUUUGUGCAUCUGCUGUCCCCUCUCCUUGAAAUGUCCUGGAUGGGGAACAGGCGUCCUUGAAGGUGGACAGUCCUGCCACGGACACCCUAGUAAGGUGGUCUCACUGGUUUCCCCACCCUGGGCUGCUGUUGUGGGAGACAGCUGGCAGGUGAAGCCCAGCAGAUCCUCAGCCACUGGGGGUAGAACAGGAAGCCUACUUCGGGAACUGGCUGCUGAGGACUCUGAGGCAAGCAGAGCCCUGCCCCCCAACCUGAAACAAAUCACACCCUCUCCACGGUGGAGUAACAUGCUUCAUGCAGCCAAAGAGGAGACUGGGCCCCCUGGGUCUGGGAAUUGGACAAAGCGAUGCUGAGCACCUUUAGAGGAUACUUAUGAACCCACAGUCUUCUGUCCCAGGCUCUGGGACCGGGGUGAUUGGUCAUCAAAGGGCACGGUCCUCUUCUACAUCAUGUUCUGUAUAUUCAUAGCCAAAAGGACCAUCACUAUACAUCUUUUGCUCAUGGAGUUAACACAGCAUUGAGGCUGGGAGAAUGGACGCCCAAGCUAGACUCUGGGUUUGACUCCCAGCUCUACCACUUAUCCGCUGUAGGACUGUGAGCAAGUUACACGCCUCAGCUUCCUCAUCUCUACAAUGGGGCUCAUAAUAGUAGCCACCUGGUAGGGUUGGUAUGAGGAUGCAGUGAGUCGCUGUGUAGACACACGUGUGAGUACGGGACCUAGCGCAGUGCCUGCAAUGUGAUGUGUGUCGGCCCCUUUGCUGCAGUUGUUGGAGGACCCUGGCUAGACCCUCCAGUGCCGCCGCCCUCUCCCCACCUGGCCACUUCUAUUACUGCCUCGAUGGCAAAGAACCCCAUGGGUCUGGUGAGUUCUCGGCAGAACUACACGGGUUAUGGGGCGCCUGGGUGGCUCAGUUGUUAGACGUCUGCCUUCGGCUCAGGUCAUGGUCCCAGGGUCCUGGGAUCGAGCCCCGCAUCGGGCUCCCUGCUCCGCGGGAAGCCUGCUUCUC